GGCAAACGGACUUGUACCAGCUAAACAUGCAGAACCAGAGAACCCCAUCAGACGAUCUCAAAAAGAAAAUAGCCCAUAUCACACACCUCAUACACUGCCAAGCUCUGGAACAGUCCGGCUUUGCCCUCAGGAGACUGAAAUUGACACAGUACACUCAGGGUAACAAAGCCAAUAGGCUACUGGCAUCCCACCUAAAAACUAAACAGAGCAAGCA